rnacentral:rRNA from 1 species
AGAGUUCGAUUAUGGCUCAGGAUGAACGCUGGCGGCGUGCUUAACACAUGCAAGUCGAACGAAGCAUUUAAGACGGAUUCUUUCGGGAUGAAGACUUUUAUGACUGAGUGGCGGACGGGUGAGUAACGCGUGGGUAACCUGCCUCACACAGGGGGAUAGCAGUUGGAAACGGCUGAUAAUACCGCAUAAGCGCACAGUACCGCAUGGUACAGUGUGAAAAACUCCGGUGGUGUGAGAUGGACCCGCGUCUGAUUAGCUUGUUGGCAGGGUAACGGCCUACCAAGGCAACGAUCAGUAGCCGACCUGAGAGGGUGACCGGCCACAUUGGGACUGAGACACGGCCCAG